GCCUAACGGAUUGCCAAAAAAAAAAAUGAUACAAGAUUAGUUCCUAAUUUUUUCUUUAAAUAGACACUUGAAAGAAGAAUUUUAGCCAUUUUAGCAUGACUUCGAUAGAUUGUUAAUUGUUAUAGUGUAUAAACUCAGUCAUUUGAGGCUGUCCAUUUUGAAUCAUAAAAAAACUUCAUGAUUUUUUCAGAUUAGGUGUAUAAGUUCAGUUGAUCACUUGAUAACUGUGUUUUGAUCCUCUCGCUAGAGAAGUUACUGCAAAUAUUCUAAUUUAGUUUAGAUGAUCCUGCCGACUUCUAAUGUGAACAGCUUGAAUCCAUGUGGCUUCAGAGCAUUUUAGCAAAUUUUGGUAUCAGUAGGAAAUAGCCUUUUUACAUUCACUAGGUAGAGGUAAUAUCUGUGUAUACACUACCCUCCCUCACUGGAUAUGUCGUCGUUGUUGUAGCUUUUGGUACUCUCUGUAAUUAAAUAUACACUGUUCAAGGAGCUGAAAAUAAUUCAAAUAUAGGAAAAACAAAAUUUAUGAAAGAAUUCUGAGCAUAGAAAGUGGAGAAAACAAAAACCACAAGAAUUUAAAAACUCACUGGAAGUACUGAAGCAAGAAAAAAAUGAAGAGAGCAGCCAAAGAGAGAAUCAGAGUGAAUAGAUGGAAAAUUGUAGAGUUAUAGUGUGCCUGAAUCUGUGCAUCUGUUUAUUCUCUCUAACGACGAAAAAUAAGUAUUUUCUUUUAGUGAUUCAAGAGGAUGUUACAACAAGUAACGAUCUUAGUCGCCACAUUUGGUUGGAGGACAUAUAAAAUGGUAGCGGAGCGAUGAGAGUUUUAAAGUAAAACCACACAUGCAUAAAAGUAAAUAUACCCGUUUAUCUAACUUUAUUUGAGGCUUCAGUUGUUUCUGCAUCAGUUUGUAGCAUUUAGCUGGCCCAGUUUCCGCUUUUCUUCUUCCUUUUUCCCUUUAGUAAAGAUCAAUUUUUGAAAGAAAACAUAGGGGAAACAGAGAAAAUAACCAAGAUAAAACAUUGACCCUCAGUUUUUAACAUCUUUUAAUGGCCGUGAGGACCACAACCGAAAACUUAUCAAUGAUGACAGAGCUUUAAAUGAGAAUCUCUCUUCAAUCUAGAUGUUUAUUUGUGUGCAAAUGUGAGAUCUGAAUUUAGCUCUUUGCACUUUUAUACCUCUGCAAGAUAAUUUUAUGCCAAAUGCACAUAGAAAAAUCUGCUAUGAGAAGGACCAAAAUAAGAAAAAAGAAAUUGAGUAUACUAUUUCCUAAAUAUAUAGUUACUGUAAGUCUGUAACACUAUUUAUAUUGCUUUCUAAACUGUUAUCCAUUUGAUCACCAUUGAAUUGAGAUUAUUAAAUAUAAUCUGAUGCUUAUCAGAGUGUGAGAAUGCAUCAUGAUGAAGAUUUAGUAAGAUUCCAUCUGUUCAUAUUUUCUUAUUUUCACAAUAUGAGAGACAUUUUGCAUGUCUAGAAGCCAAGAGCUUAACAGACUGUAACUUUAUAGGAAGAUGCCAACUUGGAAAAAGAGAAGUACAAAAUAAAAGAAAGGUAGCAAGAAGGCCGCAUAGUUUCAAACUUCCAUAUGCUGCUUGAUGCUUGAUGGACUGGGAGCGAUAGAUAUUCACCCGAUACCGUUAUUAUAAGAACAAAAAAAUAAAUAUGCCUACAAUAUAGGAAUAGUACCCUCAUGGAGGUAGAGAAUGUAUCACUUUACAACCGCGGAAUCGCGCAACAUUCAAGAGUCGACAUUUUGUUCAUUUACGUAUGUAAAUAAUAUCCAACAAUUAAUAUAUGCUGUCCUCUUUAUCCGA